rnacentral:rRNA from 1 species
AUUGAACGCUGGCGGCAUGCCUUACACAUGCAAGUCGAACGGCAGCACGGGAGCUUGCUCCUGGUGGCGAGUGGCGAACGGGUGAGUAAUGCAUCGGAACGUACCCAGGAGUGGGGGAUAACUAUCCGAAAGGAUGGCUAAUACCGCAUAUUCUGUGAGCAGGAAAGCGGGGGAUCGCAAGACCUCGCGCUCUUGGAGCGGCUGAUGUCGGAUUAGCUAGUUGGUGAGGUAAAGGCUCACCAAGGCGACGAUCCGUAGCAGGUCUGAGAGGAUGAUCUGCCACAAUGGGACUGAGACACGGCCCAGACUCCUACGGGAGUCAGCAGUGGGGAAUUUUGGACAAUGGGGGCAACCCUGAUCCAGCCAUGCCGCGUGAGUGAAGAAGGCCUUCGGGUUGUAAAGCUCUUUCGGCGGGGAAGAAAUAGCAACGGCUAAUAUCCGUUGUUGAUGACGGUACCCGCAUAAGAAGCACCGGCUAACUACGUGCCAGCAGCCGCCGUAA